rnacentral:rRNA from 1 species
GAAGCUGGAAUUGCUAGUAAUGGCAGGUCAGCAUACUGCCGUGAAUACGUUCCCGGGCCCUUGUACACACCGCCCGUCACACCAUGAGAGUUGGAAAUACCCGAAGCCUGUGAGCUAACUUUUAGAGGCAGCAGUCGAAGGUAGAGCCAAUGAUUGGGGUGAAGUCGUAACAAGGUACC